AUUGAACGCUGGCGGCAGGCCUAACACAUGCAAGUCGAGCGGAUGAAGGGAGCUUGCUCCUGGAUUCAGCGGCGGACGGGUGAGUAAUGCCUAGGAAUCUGCCUGGUAGUGGGGGAUAACGUCCGGAAACGGGCGUUAAUACCACAUACGUCCUGAGGGAGAAAGUGGGGGAUCUUCGGACCUCACGCUAUCAGAUGAGCCUAGGUCGGAUUAGCUAGUUGGUGGGGUAAAGGCCUACCAAGGCGACGAUCCGUAACUGGUCUGAGAGGAUGAUCAGUCACACUGGAACUGAGACACGGUCCAGACUCCUACGGGAGGCAGCAGUGGGGAAUAUUGGACAAUGGGCGAAAGCCUGAUCCAGCCAUGCCGCGUGUGUGAAGAAGGUCUUCGGAUUGUAAAGCACUUUAAGUUGGGAGGAAGGGCAGUAAGUUAAUACCUUGCUGUUUUGACGUUACCAACAGAAUAAGCACCGGCUAACUUCGUG
rnacentral:rRNA from 1 species